UUUUAAAUGGCCUGACACCCACUUUGGGUCUGGUCGCUGGGCUCAUUCAGUGGCGUUUACAUUUUGCAUGCAGCUUAUUUUUAAAUGAGUGACUCUGGCAGCUAACAAAAGAAAGUGAAGCCUGGGGAUACCCACAGUACCUUUUACCCUUUACUCUUCAGUUCUUCCUCCUCUUCCCAUGCCUGACUCAUCCCCAGUGGCCCUACAGAACAUUCACCUCUCUCCAAAGCCAGGUAACCACAACUGCAUACACUUGUUGCAGGGAUAAAGCACUCCAGCUCACACAUGCACCCUCUUCAUCCACCCUUGAGGCAGAGGAGAACAGGAUGCUUCUUCUGCAGCAUUCCCUGUCCCUUUUGGCCCAAGAAUGGAGACCCUUAUCUCUUACAUGGCAGCAUGCUACAUUGCCACUGAGUGACUAAGCCAAUUCAAGGUCCAGUUGCGCGUGUAAUAUCCCAAGCAAGAGCAGAAGUCUCAGACCACACCCCAGUGGGCAACCAAAGCCAUUGCAACUGGCCAGUCUCUGAAGAGGCCAAGGACUGAACAGGCACGGAAAAUUCACAUUCUAGUGACAGAAUCACACGCAUUUCCAUCUGUCUCUCUGGAUGUGCAGCGAGGAACCUAUGGUAAAGAUCAGCUAAAGCAGCGAGAACCGGGAGAGCCCAGUGUUAUACCC